UACGAAGGGGACUAGCGUUGUUCGGAUUUACUGGGCGUAAAGCGCGCGUAGGCGGAUCGCUAAGUCAGGGGUGAAAUCCCAAGGCUCAACCUUGGAACUGCCUUUGAUACUGACGAUCUGGAGAUCGGGGAGAGGUUGGUGGAAUUCCGAGUGUAGAGGUGAAAUUCGUAGAUAUUCGGCGGAACACCAGUGGCGAAGGCGACUCACUGGCCCGAUACUGACGCUGAGGCGCGAAAGCGUGGGGAG
rnacentral:rRNA from 1 species